GCCCAGAAGCGGGGGAUAACACCUGGAAACAGAUGCUAAUACCGCAUAACAACUUGGACCGCAUGGUCCGAGCUUGAAAGAUGGCUUCGGCUAUCACUUUUGGAUGGUCCCGCGGCGUAUUAGCUAGAUGGUGGGGUAACGGCUCACCAUGGCAAUGAUACGUAGCCGACCUGAGAGGGUAAUCGGCCACAUUGGGACUGAGACACGGCCCAAACUCCUACGGGAGGCAGCAGUAGGGAAUCUUCCACAAUGGACGAAAGUCUGAUGGAGCAACGCCGCGUGAGUGAAGAAGGGUUUCGGCUCGUAAAACUCUGUUGUUAAAGAAGAACAUAUCUGAGAGUAACUGUUCAGGUAUUGACGGUAUUUAACCAGAAAGCCACGGCUAACUACGUGCCAGCAGCCGCGGUAAUACGUAGGUGGCAAGCGUUGUCCGGAUUUAUUGGGCGUAAAGCGAGCGCAGGCGGUUUUUUAAGUCUGAUGUGAAAGCCUUCGGCUCAACCGAAGAAGUGCAUCGGAAACUGGGAAACUUGAGUGCAGAAGAGGACAGUGGAACUCCAUGUGUAGCGGUGAAAUGCGUAGAUAUAUGGAAGAACACCAGUGGCGAAGGCGGCUGUCUGGUCUGUAACUGACGCUGAGGCUCGAAAGUAUGGGUAGCAAACAGGAUUAGAUACCCUGGUAGUCCAUACCGUAAAACGAUGAACGCUAAGUGUUGGAGGGUUUCCGCCCUUCAGUGCUGCAGCUAACGCAUUAAGCAUU
rnacentral:rRNA from 1 species